rnacentral:rRNA from 1 species
UACGUAGGGGGCAAGCGUUGUCCGGAAUCAUUGGGCGUAAAGCGCGUGUAGGCGGCUCGGUAAGUCCGCUCUGAAAGUCCAGGGCUCAACCCUGGGAUGCGGGUGGAUACUGCCGAGCUCGAGUCCGGAAGAGGCGAGUGGAAUUCCUGGUGUAGCGGUGAAAUGCGCAGAUAUCAGGAGGAACACCAGUGGCGAAGGCGACUUCCUGGCCUGUUCUUGACGCUGAGGCGCGAAAGCUAGGGUAGCAAACGGG